CACCCAAAGAAAGUUUAGUUUUAAAACAAAUUCCAUAUUAAGGAAGCCCAAGGGAUAGUGCAGAGAAUACCCGAAGAAGGUUUUCAAAGACCAUUGAUUUAAGCAUUCAACUCGUUAAGGGAAGAUACUGUAAAAUUCAGUUAUUUUUUAUCUUGAUUAUUGAGGGUUUUCAUGGACACCGAUUCUUCUUGUUCUAUGAAAUACAUUGAAUGCUGAACAUGCAAGAACUGGAAUGAUGUACACGAUGCUUUUGUAUUUUCUUUCGAGCAUAUAUAAAGGGAAUGGAGACAUUUGGGGUUAGGCUAAAUUGGCCAUUCUCGGAGACAUUUGGGGUUAGGCUAAAUUGGCCAUUCUCGGAUUACUUGUUCAUAAACCUGGGCCGUCGAUUUCAUCUUGUACUUUGAAUGGUCUUGGAUAGUUUGUUUGGGAAUUUUUACUUGGCAGGUUUGCGACAGAAUGAAAUCUCAACUUUAGUAUCACAGUCGUCUCAGAUUCAAGCAAGCAAGGGUUUCUUUUGGAAGCUUCUUGUGUGGGUCAUGACAAAUACAUCCUUCACUCUCACUCUCACCUGUUCUGUCUUGGAUUUAGGCCAGUGAUUUGAUUUUGCUGUCAGAACUGUUAUGUGCAAUGCCUCUUGCAACUCAAGUAUUCUCUCUAAGAGAAUUAAAUAGGAUACAUCUAGUCUUGACAUGUUUCAGAAUUCCUUCUUAGAUAAUGUCCUGAAAAGUGCAUGUGAAGUGUGGUGGUUGCAGAUUAAGCUGUCUCAAUUAAUAUACCUGUAGCUUUGCAUACAUGACCCGCACGUGUAACUACUUGGACCACAUUUUGUGGUCCAACCUCCUUAAUAGCAUCCUUGAGGAUUGGAAACUGAAAUCAACAUAUUUGGAAUGCCUUGAACAAUCAACUGCCUUACAAAAUAUGGGCACUCUGAACAUGUAAAGAUGAUAUUGAUGAGUGGACGGUGCCUAAUGUCUGUCCACCCAUCCAUGACUCUACUGCAUCCACUUUCCACCCAACAUUCCUUCAUUAUCUCUAUUAACACAUUGCCUUGGAAUGGUUCUUAUCCAAGAUUGUGGUCCUCAAUUUGUCUCCCCUAGUGGUACAUAUGAUGGUUCUACCCUUGCUACCAUUGACAUCACUUGCUUAUAUUCAGGAGAUCGAGCCACAUGGAAUGGAAUGCUAUUGGCAAAGAAGAAUUUUCCUGUGACCUCAUUUGCAUCAUCCCUCAUUUGCACAUUUAAUAAUUUAGCUAUUGGGCAAGGAGCAUCAGUUGUUAACUUGUGUUCCUCUUAGUCUCUGCUGCAUGGGCCCCUGAAGAAGAAGUUGGCAUAUGUGCAACUUGCCUUUGCAAAGUAGAAGUAGAACUGCAUGGCUGGCUUUGAUGACCCAUCGGCCUAUGCGACAAAAAAACAGAUAUAGGUGCAACUGCAUUGUCUUCACCAUCGACACUCCAUAGGCUACAUAUCUUAGCCUUGAAUUUCAGGUUGGCCGGUCUCCCCAAAAGCUUACAUAUUUCUACAUCUUUUCCUCAGAUAUGAAGGAGGUGGACAAUAACUCUGGUAAUGCUACCUUGAAAUUCAAGGCCACAAAAGUGGCACUUCCACAAAAUUGUGACCUCAGUUGUCCCAGGCCUGCGUUGUAUUUUUGUUGCAAAUCAUCUUGAAGGAAAUUUAGGAUGAACAGGAUGCUUAGCAAAAUCUGCAAGUAUUGUGGAGGGGCAAUUCAUACUUGCAGUGACACUCGUCAUGGAAUUGGUGGUUUGGGUUUCACUUUCAUGGUCACCCCUCUCAACCUCAGCCUCAAGUGCAUAAUCAGAUUCAAUACUUCCACUUUGAAUGUCAACCUCAUCCUAACUCAUGCCAUGAAAAUUUAUUGUGACACUGCAAUAAACAUUAUAAAAUGUAUGAGUUUAUAACUCUAUGAAUGCAGCAUAAUGCAAAGGAUUAAGACAAAAAGGUUUUAUUUUCUGUUUUUCUUACUUCGAUCACGUUAAGCGCAGAAGCAGAGGAUACACAAAUAAAAAUCUUUGUUCUUAAUCUUUGUCAAUCAAAGAUUCUACUUUUGUUUUAUCUUUGUUUUUCUUGCAAGGCAAUCUCUGGGGUUGUAAGGCAUUAUAGAAACAUUUGAAAAUGCCAUAAUGCACACUAACUCAUCUUCUUUGAAUA